rnacentral:miRNA from 1 species
CAAGCUCCUCUCUGUGGGUCU